UGCCACAGACAAGAAUGAAGCUGGAUGCCUAUUUCUCACAAUACACAAAAGUGAUUCAAGAUUAGACUUAGCUAUACCUUGACUAUGAAUAAUAGUUUCACUAAGGAAGACAGAAUGAGUUCUGACAGGAAGAUUGGGAGCUGUAACAGGCAGAAGAAAGAUGGAGCCAAAUGGCGUGGAGAUGUGUCAUCACUGCUGUGUGUUACCUUGAUCUGCUUCCAUUAUCUACUUCUUUUCAAAAUACUGGGCACUCAUUCAAGAAGCAGCAUAUAUGUACUGACUUUGAAGUAAUGGAUGAACUUUCAUGUGCAGUAUAUGGAAAUAAAUUUAUUACCUUCUUCCCACAUUGACUCAUUAUCUCAUCCAUCCAUUCAGUAGUCAUUUAUUGAGAGCUCACUCCGUUUUAGGCACAGUGGUGUCAUGAUGUUGGGACAGUAACAGUAACUCAGCCAACCAGGGCUUGUCUG